UACAGGGGGUGCAAACGUUGCUCGGAAUCAUUGGGCGUAAAGCGCACGUAGGCGGACUCUUAAGUCGGUGGUGAAAUCCUGGAGCUCAACUCCAGAACUGCCUUCGAUACUGAGAGUCUUGAGUCCGGGAGAAGGUGAGUGGAACUGCGAGUGUAGAGGUGAAAUUCGUAGAUAUUCGCAAGAACACCAGUGGCGAAGGCGGCUCACUGGCCCGGUACUGACGCUGAGGUGCGAAAGCGUGGGGAGCAAACAGG
rnacentral:rRNA from 1 species